rnacentral:rRNA from 1 species
UACGUAGGUGGCAAGCGUUGUCCGGAUUUACUGGGUGUAAAGGGCGUGUAGCCGGGCUGACAAGUCAGAUGUGAAAUCCGGGGGCUCAACCCCCGAACUGCAUUUGAAACUGUUGGUCUUGAGUAUCGGAGAGGCAGGCGGAAUUCCUAGUGUAGCGGUGGAAUGCGUAGAUAUUAGGAGGAACACCAGUGGCGAAGGCGGCCUGCUGGACGACAACUGACGGUGAGGCGCGAAAGCGUGGGGAGCAAACAGG